rnacentral:misc_RNA from 1 species
AAAGUCGUAACAAGGUCUCCGUUGGUGAACCAGCGGAGGGAUCAUUACAGAGUUGCAAAACUCCCUAAAUCCCUUGUGGAAAACCCUUAUUUUAGUCGGUAUCUUCUGAGUAAAAAGACAAAUAAGUCAAAACUUUCAACAACGGAUCUCUUGGUUCUG